GACGCUGGCGGCGUGCUUUACACAUGCAAGUCGAACGGAGUGUAGCGAUACACUCAGUGGCGGACGGGUGAGUAACGCGUGAGCAACCUGCCUUGUACAACGGGAUAACACAGAGAAAUUUGUGCUAAUACGGUAUAAGACCACAGUGGGGCAUCCCACAGGGGUAAAAGGAAAUCGGUACAAGAGGGGCUCGCGUCCCAUUAGCUAGUUGGCGGGGUAACGGCCCACCAAGGCGACGAUGGGUAGCCGGCCUGAGAGGGUGGACGGCCACAUUGGAACUGAGACACGGUUCAGACUCCUACGGGAGGCAGCAGCUAAGAAUCUUCCGCAAUGGGCGAAAGCCUGACGGAGCGACGCCGCGUGAACGAAGAAGGCCGUGAGGUUGUAAAAUUCUGUCUUCAGGGAAGAAACAAAUGACGGUACCUGAGGAGGAAGCCCCGGCUAACUACGUGCCAGCCGCCGC
rnacentral:rRNA from 1 species